GACCCAGUGGUGUAGUGGUAACAUAUCUGCAUGAAGUGGCUGACAUAAUGCAUACCUCAGUAGAGGACCCUUGUUCAACUCAGGGCUGGGUCA